UCAUCUGUAAUAAGAGGAAAUUUGUUACCAGUGGCAAAUCUGUACAAAUCUCAGCAACCUCAAUUCUUGUCUCCUCAGAAGAAAGAAUUGAACUGAGGGGCAUAAGGCAGAAGGAGAGGCUGAGGCAAGUAUUAUUUAUUUACUUGUUUAUUUAUUUAUUUAUUUUUGAGAAGGAAUCUCGCUCUGUUGCCCAGGCUGGAGUGCAGUGGCCCGAUCUUGGCUCACUGCAACCUCCCCCUCCUGGGUUCCAGCGAUUCUCCUGCCUUGGCCUCCCAAGUAGCUGGGAUUACAGGCACCUGCCACCACACCAGGGUAAUUUUUGUAUUAUUUUUAGUAGAGACGGGGUUUCACCAUGUUGGCCAGGCUGGUCUCGAACUCCUCACCUCAAGUGAUCCACCCACCUCGGCCUCCCAAAGUGCUGGGAUUACAUGCGUGAGCCACCGCGCCCAGCCGAGGCAAGUUUUAGAGCAGGACUGAAAGUUUAUUAAAAAGCUUUAGAGCAGGGAAAAAAAGAAGGAAAGUACACUUGGAAGAGGGCCAAGCAGGCGAGUUGAAGGACAAGUGUCCGCUUUGACCUUUUAACUUAGGGUUUUCUAUGUAAGUAUACUUCCAGGGUCUUGCCUCCCUUCUGCCCUGAUUCUUCCCUUGGGGGUGUGCUGUCCGCAUGUGCAGUGGCCUGCUAGCGCUUGGAAAGGGAGCAUGCGCAGUGUGUUUACUGGCGUUGUACGCAUGCUCACUCCAGGCGUUCUUCCCUUACCAGAAUGUUCCUAGGAGGUCAUAUACCAGUUAAACUGCCCCAUUUUGCCUCUUAGUGUACAUUGUGAGCCCACUCAACCAGUUCCUGAGAUACUAUUGGGAAGCUGCUGAUACCAGUUUCAGGUUUUUUCCAUCUGUUGGGAAACCGCCUAUCCCUGGUGCUCGCUGCAACCAAUUAUUAUUUUAGGGAGACAGUUAACCGCCUGACCAUCACCCGAUGAUCGCCUGAUAUUCUUGGUAGGGGGUGGGGAGGGUGCUGCCUCCUCCCCUGCUCAUGUCUGCCUGACUACCUACUGUAACAAACUGAGCUAAAAGUCAUUUUUAGCUAUAGCCUUUUUUUUUUUUUUUUUUUUGAGACAGAGUUGCGCUCUUGCUGCCCAGGCUGAAGUGCAGUGGCACGAUCUUGGCUCACUGCAGCCUCCGCCUACUGGAUUCAAGCAAUUCUCCUGCCUCAGCCUCCCAAGUAGCUGGGAUUACAGGUGCCUGCCACCAUGCCCGGCUAAUUUUUGUAUUUUUAGUAGAGACAGGGUUUCACCAUGUUGGCCAGGCUGGUCUCGGAACUCCUGACAUCAGGCGAUCUGCCCGCCUCCGCCUCCCAAAGUGCUGGGAUUACAGGCGUGAGCCACCACGCCAAGCCUACAGCCUUUUAUAAUUGUUUUUCCAACCCCCAAAUCAGCAUCCACGACUAUAUAAACUUUUUGGCCGUUUGAUCAAAUGGGGACAUCUGGCAUACUGCUAUCAACCAAUAUUGUAAGUAAUUGAACUUUGAUAUAUCACGUCAACCCAGAGGAAACUAUAGCUAUUGAAGUAGCAGGAGUGUCCCGGGGGACUGGGAGAGGGUGGAUAUGGCCUACAGACCACUUCCAUGAUCUCAUGUAUUAUCUCUUUUUUAUACUUCUGUAUUUUCACAAUUAUCUGAUUUUUGUGUUUUAUGUUAUUUUAUAUUCUUCUUCCAACCCUGGCCCCUUUCUUUCCUUUACAGUGUUUGAGCUUUAGUGUUCUUGCAAGAGAAUUUUCAGAAGUUGGGGUCUGAAAUAAAUGUAUUAUAAUACUUGCUAACUGAAAUAUGUUCCCAGCCAACUUCAUUCAUCAGCUCACACUGGGCAAAGCCUCUGGAGCUUGAGGUGGGAGGUGCUGCUUCUGCAGGAGUUCCUGGUACUGGAGUCCUAGGGAUAGGACCCUUACAGAUGCCAUCUCAGUACAUGGACCCUGUGGUUCACCUCGUGUAAGGCAGAGGCUCUCAGUGUACUUCUAUGUCCAGCUUGUGCCUUGUCUUCUUGUUUCUUAAACAUGUGCUUCUGUUUGGUCACAUUGCACCUUGUUCUAUUAACCAACAUAGCGGGUGUACAUUUCAGGCUACACAUUCAAUUGUGUAAGAAACAUCCUUUUUUUCUCUAUUCUGCCAGGUAGUUGAAAAUUAAGCUGAGCGUCUGAGUUCUGGGAUGUUCACCUGUGCCAAGGAGUCAGAAUGGAGGUUCUUACAGGGUCUUGCUCUGUCACCCAGGCUGGAAUUCAGUGGCAUGAUCACUUCUCACUGCAACCUUGACCUCCCAGGCUCAAGUCAUCCUCCCACCUUAGCCCCUGGAGUAGCUGGGCCUACAGGUGCAUGUCACCAUGCCUGGCUAUUUUUUUUUUUUUUUAAUUUUUGUAAAGAGAGGAUCUCACUAUGUUGCCCAGGCUGGUCUCAAACUCUUGGACUCAAGUAAUCCUCCAACCUUGCCACCCAAAAUGUUGGGAUUACAGGUGUGAGCCACCAUGCCUGGCCUAAAAUUUUCUUUAUAAUAUAGUAAUGUGAUAGGCACUUUCUUCCCACCUGCUGCUAAAAAUUUGGAGAUACUGUACCCUCCAUCUCAAUUUUAAGUAUGAUCAGAAUUAUAUAUCUAAUUGAACUAAA